rnacentral:lncRNA from 1 species
GUCUCCCUUUGGCUGCUAGAAACCACCAUGUUUUCCGAUGCCAAUUCACAGGAGUGAAGAAACGUCUGACACGUAGUAUGUGGUACGGGCUCCAUCGGGAGACUGUGUCUGUUAUUUUAUCGUCAGCCCCAACGUUUCCAUUGCCACUAGCGUCACCCCCCAUCGUUGGCAUGUCCACCACCAUCACCAUCAUCACCAAUAUUACCAUCAUCCCUAUCACCAUUGUCCUCCCGCAUCUCCUCCCGAUAGCAACUCUCUUCAGAGAAAUGUUUUCUCUACUACAGAAUGAAAAGGGUCUUUCCAGAAAGGAGGUCUGAAACAUGAAGCGUCUCCUGGU